UGGGGAAUAUUGGACAAUGGGCGCAAGCCUGAUCCAGCAAUGCCGCGUGUGUGAAGAAGGCCUUCGGGUUGUAAAGCACUUUUAUCAGGAGCGAAACGCUGUCGGCUAAUACCCGGCGGAACUGACGGUACCUGAGGAAUAAGCACCGGCUAACUUCGUGCCAGCAGCCGCGGUAAUACGAAGGGUGCAAGCGUUAAUCGGAAUUACUGGGCGUAAAGCGUGCGUAGGCGGUUUCUUAAGUCUGCUGUGAAAUCCCCGGGCUCAACCUGGGAAUGGCAGUGGAUACUGGGAGGCUAGAGUGUGUCAGAGGGUGGUGGAAUUCCCGGUGUAGCGGUGAAAUGCGUAGAGAUCGGGAGGAACAUCAGUGGCGAAGGCGGCCACCUGGGACAACACUGACGCUGAGGCACGAAAGCGUGGGGAGCAAACAGGAUUAGAUACCCUGGUAGUCCACGCCCUAAAAGCGAUGCGAACUGGAUGUUGGUCUCAACUCGGAGAUCAGUGUCGAAGCUAACGCGUUAAGUUCGCCGCCUGGGGAGUACGGUCGCAAGACUGGAAACUCAAAGGAAUUGACGGGGUCAUAGCUGUUUCC
rnacentral:rRNA from 1 species